GAGGACAGUGGCGCAAGUGGUGAGUAACACGUGAGCAUCUGCCUCCGGGUCGGGGACAGCCCGCGGAAACGCGGAUUAAUACCCGACGGUCCCUUCGGGGUAAAGAGGAAUCGCCCGGAGAUGAGCUCGCGUCCCAUCAGCUUGUUGGCGGGGUAACGGCCCACCAAGGCGACGACGGGUAGGUGGUCUGAGAGGAUGGUCACCCACACUGGGACUGAGACACUGCCCAGACUCCUACGGGAGGCUGCAGUCGAGAAUCAUCCGCAAUGGGCGAAAGCCUGACGGUGCAAUGCCGCGUGGGGGAUGAAGGCCUUCGGGUCGUAAACCCCUGUCAGAGGGGACGAAACACAUGACGGUACCCUCAGAGGAAGCCACGGCUAACUACGUGCCGGCAGCCGCGGUAACACGUAGGUGGCGAGCGUUAUUCGGAUUUACUGGGCGUAAAGGGUCCGCAGGGGGUUUGCCAAGUCCGGUGUGAAAGUCCGGGGCUCAACCCCGGAACUGCGCCGGAUACUGGUGAACUGGAGUGCGCGAAGGGCAGGCGGAAUUCCUGGUGUAGCGGUGGAAUGCGUGGAUAUCAGGAAGAACACCGACGGCGAAAGCGGCCUGCUGGCGCGCCACUGACCCUCAUGGACGAAAGCGUGGGGAGCGAACAGGAUUAGAUACCCUGGUAGUCCACGCUGUAAACGGUGCAGACCCGAUGCGGGGGGCAGCCCCCUCCGUGUCCAAGCCAACGCGUUAAGUCUGCCGCCUGGGGACUACGGUCGCAAGGCUAAAACUCAAAGGAAUCGACGGGGGCCCGCACAAGCGGUGGAGCAUGUGGCUUAAUUCGAGGCAACGCGAAGAACCUUACCCGGGCUUGACAUAUUCCGGACCGCCCGCGAAAGCGGGUUUUCCCUUCGGGGACCGGUUUACAGGUGCUGCAUGGCUGUCGUCAGCUCGUGCCGUGAGGUGUUCGGUUAAGUCCGGCAACGAGCGCAACCCGUAUUGUCGGUUGCCAUCAGGUCAUGCUGGGCACUCUGGCGAGACUGCCCGUGUCAAGCGGGAGGAAGGCGCGGA
rnacentral:rRNA from 1 species